UACGGGGGGAGCAAGCGUUGUUCGGAUUUACUGGGCGUAAAGGGCGCGUAGGCGGCCACCGCAAGUCGACUGUGAAAUCUCCGGGCUUAACCCGGAAAGGUCAGCCGAUACUGCGGGGCUAGAGUGCAGAAGGGGCAACUGGAAUUCUCGGUGUAGCGGUGAAAUGCGUAGAUGUCGAGAGGAACACCUGCGGCGAAGGCGGGUUGCUGGGCUGACACUGACGCUGAGGCGCGAAAGCUAGGGUAGCAAACGGG
rnacentral:rRNA from 1 species